UAAGAAUAAUUAGUUGAUUUUUACGUUUCAAAUAGGCGACGAGGACAAAAAUAAUAAAUUCCUGUAAUAUUCCUAAUGCAUUACGACACCAUUUCGAAUUUUUUUGUUUUUUGAGAAGGAGAAAUAAAAAUAUAGUUUUAUUAUAGAUAAAUAAAUAGAUAGAUAGAAAAAGAGAAAGAUAACACAGUAAUGCUAGUAAAUUAAAAAGUAAAUGAUAACACAGUACGUUUCUCAUUAUUUAAUUCACAGCAUACUCGCGGACAAUUGGUCGGUGCAUAUAAUUGAGAGAGAGAGAGAGAGAGAGAGAGAGAGAGAGAGAGAGAGAGAGAGAGAGAGAGAGAGAGAGAGAGAGAGAAUCGAAAUUUGUUUGGGACGGGUGAAGUCCCGAAAUCCUUUUUAGAGAGAGAGAGAGAGAGAGAGAGAGAGAGAGAGAGAGAGAGAGCAAAAAAGAUGAAAGAAAAGAGUGGGAGCGAGAGAGAGAGAGAGAGAGAGAGAGAGAGAGAGAAGGCGAGAAAGAAAUAGUAUGUACGUGAGAUAGAAAAAUGAGAAGGAUGAGAGAGAGAGAGAGAAAGGGAAUCGUAUGCAUGCGCGAGCGAAUGAGAAACGAGCAAAAGCAAUGUGAGAAAAAGAAAAGAAAAAAAAAUAACAAAAAACAAAACAAAAAUAGUGUUUAACGAUGUGUCGAUUCUUUGUAAUCGAACGCAUUAAAUAUAUAUAUAUACAAUAUAUAUAUAUAUACACAUUUAAAAAGCACAAAAAUUUGAAGCUGCAUAUUCGACGCCCUCAAGAGGGCAAAAGAGGAGCCCUUAGGAUCAACGGGCCUUUUUAACUACCUGUAACCCGAUGAUGUCUUUGUUGUACGCCUCUGAUGAGACAACGUCAUCGGCAUGGCGAUAUUGUGGCCUUCUUCGAUGCUCUGUGGUCACACGUUUAUUUUACAAAAUAUUAGAAAUAAAGAAAAAGGAAAAAACAAAAAAGACAAGCAGACAAAGGAAAAGAGAAAGAAAAAACAAGAUUCGUUUUGUAUUACGGGAACGUGAUUGAACAGGGUUGGAUGUAAUUCAAGGAGCAACCAUUCGUUUGCAAUAAUUGUGACGAUGUGAACAAAAAAAAAGGAAGGAAAUUAAAUAAGAGAAGAAACGAAAAAAGCGGUACUUUUGUUCAAAUCUCCGUGCGUUUAGAGAUAACUUUCACUGAGAAACAUUUUACUUGAAAGUUAAAUAACGUAUCAUUGAAAAUAAUUUCUUAAUUUAUUUUUUACUUUUUUGAUUUUUAAUUUUUAUAUUUAUUUAUUUUAACCAUUCAAAGUUUUUUUUGUAUGUUUGUAGGAUAUAUAUAUAUAUACAUACAGUGAUAAUACGCUUUGUCGCUAUUAUUUUGAUAAUAAAUAAAAGAGGAAGAUCAAUUUUUAUUACUUUCGCAUUAUCGUAAUUUAACAUCAGCGUUUGGUAGCGUUUCUUUCCAAUAAUAUUCUAUAAUAAGUCAAACAUUUUGAAAAGAAUUUGUGCAAAAGAAAGUAAAAAAAAUAUAAUAACGCUUUUGAUAGAUGUUUUGUUGUCCAUUGAAUUCUCGCGCGCUAUUUAAAAGGGGAAAAAACAACGACAUGCGUUACAGCAUUGUUCCUAUGCGCGCGCGUUAUUCUAGAUAUUUAAAUACAUAAUAUACUACCAUUCAUUCGUAUAUAAUUUAUCGUUACCGUUUGCACUUAUAUAUAUAUUUAUAUAUAUAUAUAUAUAUAUAUAUAUAUAUAUAUAUAUAUACACGUAUACGUAAUAAACGUAACACCAUUUAUUCAUGUAUAUUAAAAGUCAUCUUUAUAUAACACAUAUAUAUAUAUAUAAUUUCUAUCAAUUUUAGAGGUACUUCAUGAGGAUUUAAACGAAAGUAAUUUUGUGUAGUAAUAAUAUAACGUAAAGUUCCAAUAAAUUAAAAAAAAAGAAAAGUAAUAAAUUAUUUUUUGCAAGAUCAUUUCGCGGAUAGAUCAUUUUAACGAUCGAUCGAUCAAUUAUUAGCUUUUAAUGAGUUGGCCGAAUUUAUUUGCGUUUUUUAUAUACAUAUUAGUUUACUUUUAAUAAUUGCGAUAUAAAAAAAAGAGAGAGUGUGUGAGAGCUAUUUCCAGUUAUUUAUCUGAAUGAUUUAUGCGAUAAUCGUUUUGAGAAUAAACAUAAUAUGCGAUAUGCGAUUUCAAACGUCUGUUAAUAAAACUUUGAGAAAGUAAGAUUAUAUCAAUCAA